GCCGUGUCCCUGCGCUCCAUCGGUCAGCGGGCGCGGGCCCGCAGGAUGGAGCCGCAGCACGUGCGCCCCGUGCUUGGAUCCCAGAGCCCAGCCUGGGAGGAACCGAAAAUCUUCAGUACUCGUCUCGCAACAUGAACGUUUAAAGCUAAAACCUUCACAGAGAUGUGAGAUGGAGCAGGAGCAGUGGCUAAAUGUUGAACUCUUCAAAACUUGGCGUAUGGGCUGCUGGUGUACCACCAUCAUCCCCAACACUCCUGUUCAGAAGAUGGGUGAGGAAAGUGGAAAGUCUAAUCAGUCAGCCGAUGACCAGUGGGAAAAAUGAGCUACAAGAUCACCUGAUCUUCAUCAGUGAGAAAGCUUUGCACAAGAGGGUCUGCUAGAAAUACUUCAACCCAAAAUUCCAAAAUGACUAAGAAGAGAUCAAAAAUAAAUGAACUAGAAGAACUGAAAUUGGAUAUGAGGAAGAUCAGCAAUGACAUGGAGGAAAUGUGUGGAAUCCUGAACCUUUACAUGUAUGAGGAUUUGAACUACAGGAUGAACACUGAAUUCAACAUCAUUAAAUCACAACAUGAGAAGACAAUGUUGGAUAUGAAUAAAAUGAUCCAGUCCAUAAUUGUUUCCAUGCAGUACUCCAAGGAACUGAUAGAAGAUAACUAUUCCUACAGCAUUAAGGAGGACCACCUCCUCCGUGAGUGCACUCAACUCCACGAAAAUGUAAGGAUAUUACUGAAUGAGAACAGAAGGCUGCUGGUGGAUCAGGCUGGCCACAAGUGUCCUGUGGGGAAGAAAAGAGGUUCUCUGAGGAGGCCAGCAAGAACAUCUGUGUCCCAAGUGCCAAGGAACACCAGUGUGAAAUAGUCCAGCAGAAAGCAGAACAUGGCACAGACCAGGACAUGAUCUCCCUCAAAGAGAAGUGCUGGAGGAAGAGCACUGAGUGUGCACAGGAAAUACACCACUGUUGCUUCUCAUCCCUAAUAACCAUGGCUGUAAUGGGCUGUAUGCUCCUCUUUUAUUUUGUUUCUUUGGUAUGAACAGGCCUUAAUUUCAUCUAGCCUCUGGCCCAGGAAGAGUGCACAUUUAAAGGGACUCAGAGAAAUGCUGAGACACAUCAAGAGCUGCUGGGCAUCCAGGAAGAAUCUGAGUGCAAAUUUCUCUUUUCCUGAUGGGUCAUCAUCAAUAAUUACAUGGAGAUCAGUCAACAAAAUUGUAAAUCCUUGGAUCCAAGUUUACAACAUGUGUUCUGCUUUGACUUGGGAGGCCAUAUCCUUCAGACCCACACUCCAAAAGGAGAGUGUUGCUUAAAUUUCUCCUGCAAAGUUUGCUACCUCCAGGAACUGCUUUUCUACUAAGUUGCCAAGGACAGCCACAGGCUGUAAGGCUGUGCUACAAAAUGAGCACACUAAGAAUUUUGCUUUGCACAAUUUUUGUGGUUUGAUUUUGGUUUGAGUUUUGAUUAGUUUAGGUAUUUGGUUUUUCUUGUUUUCAUUCAAAGUUUUGUUAUUUAUUGGUUAUUUAUUGUUCUUUUAAGUAAUUUGAUAUUUUGAUAAGGUUAUACACAGUACAUAUUGACUGUCAGCUUUCAGUUACAAUUGAGUACAUUGCAUUUAUUCUUAUGACUAACACAGUGAUCUCCAAGUCUUCACUCUAAGAGCCUUGUUAUUUCAGGUGUGAUCAUGAAAGCCCACAGAUAUCAGACCCAGAUGGAUCUCUGCACUCUUCAUGGGACUUGGGCUCCAUAGUUUCUUCUGAGCCAGACUGAACUACAAAGUCCUUCAUACAUUCAGUAUGGAGAGUAUGUCCAACUGCCUGGAUAGGAACUUAAUGAUGGAAAACUUACCCAUGCUGCAUCGUUGCUGUCAAAUAUUUAGCUACUGUGAAAAUACUGUGGAUGAUGGUGUUGAACGCAUUAAUGGCAAAUACAUCAGUAUUUCUGUAAUAGCUCUCAUUAAAUCAAAGCAUAGUCUAAGGGAAUAAAAAGCUGUCAGAAAAC